AGAGUUUAAUCCUGGCUCAGGAUGAACGCUAGCGACAGGCCUAACACAUGCAAGUCGAGGGGCAGCGGGGAGGUAGCAAUACCUUUGCCGGCGACCGGCGCACGGGUGAGUAACACGUAUGCAAUCCACCUGUAACAGGGGGAUAACCCGGAGAAAUCCGGACUAAUACCCCAUAAUAUGGGCGCUCCGCAUGGAGAGUUCAUUAAAGAGAGCAAUUUUGGUUACAGACGAGCAUGCGCUCCAUUAGCCAG
rnacentral:rRNA from 1 species